GACGUAGGAUGCGAGCGUUGUCCGGAUUUAUUGGGCGUAAAGAGUUCGUAGGCGGUUCGUUAAGUCUGAUGUUAAAGACUGGGGCUCAACCCUGGGAGUGCAUUGGAUACUGGCGGACUGGAGUGCAGUAGAGGCAAGCGGAAUUCCAGGUGUAGCGGUGAAAUGCGUAGAUAUCUGGAAGAACACCGGUGGCGCAAGCGGCUCACUGGACCGGUACUGACGCUGAUGCGCGAAAGCGUGGGGAGCAAACGGG
rnacentral:rRNA from 1 species